AGUCACUGACAUUAGAUACCCCGGUAGUCCAGGGUGUAAACGCUGCAGACUUGGUGUUGGAAGUCCUUUGGGGGCAUUCAGUGCCGGAGAGAAGUUGUUAAGUCUGCUACUUGGGGAGUACGUCCGCAAGGAUGAAACUUAAAGGAAUUGGCGGGGGAGCACCGCAACGGGAGGAGCGUGCGGUUUAAUUGGAUUCAACACCGUAAACUCACCAGGGAAGACUGUUACAUGAAGGCCGAGAUGAAGACUCUGCUAGAUUUUCAG
rnacentral:rRNA from 1 species